rnacentral:sRNA from 1 species
GCUGGGCAUGGGGGCAUAUGCCUGUAGUCCCAGCUAUUUGGGAGGCUGAAGCAAGAGAUUCACUUGAGCCCUGGGCUUUGAGACUAGCCUGGGCAUAGCAAGACCCUGUCUCUU